CAGUAGCCGCGGUAAUACGAAGGGUGCAAGCGUUAAUCGGAAUUACUGGGCGUAAAGCGCGCGUAGGUGGUUUGGUAAGAUGGAUGUGAAAUCCCCGGGCUCAACCUGGGAACUGCAUCCAUAACUGCCUGACUAGAGUACGGUAGAGGGUGGUGGAAUUUCCUGUGUAGCGGUGAAAUGCGUAGAUAUAGGAAGGAACACCAGUGGCGAAGGCGACCACCUGGACUGAUACUGACACUGAGGUGCGAAAGCGUGGGGAGCAAACAGGAUUAGAUACCCGGGUAGUCCCUGUCUCUUAUAA
rnacentral:rRNA from 1 species